rnacentral:rRNA from 1 species
CCUACGGGAGGCAGCAGUGAGGAAUAUUGGUCAAUGGCCGGAAGGCUGAACCAGCCAUGCCGCGUGAAGGUCAGUGCCCUAUGGGCGUUAAACUUCUUUUGUGCGGGAGCAAUAAUGGUCACGUGUGGCCAGACGAGAGUACCGUACGAAUAAGCAUCGGCUAACUCCGUGCCAGCAGCCGCGGUAAUACGGGGGAUGCAAGCGUUAUCCGGAUUUAUUGGGUUUUAAGGGUGCGUAGGCUGUGAGGUAAGUCAGCGGUGAAAUGCCCCCGCUCAACGGGGUGAAGUGCCAUUGAUACUGCCUUGCUGGAAUGCGGAUGCCGUGGGAGGAAUGUGUGGUGUAGCGGUGAAAUGCAUAGAUAUCACACAGAACACCGAUUGCGAAGGCAGCUCACGAAUCCGCGAUUGACGCGGAUGCACGAAAGCGUGGGUAUCAAACAGGAUUAGAUACCCGAGUAGUC